rnacentral:rRNA from 1 species
CUGGCGGCUGCCUACACAUGCAAGUCGUACGGAGAGUGGGCAACUCACUCUCAGUGGCAAACGGGUGAGUAACGCGUGAAUAACCUGCCUUUGAGAAGGGGAUAACUGUCCGAAAGGAUAGCUAAUACCCUAUAUUGCCUUUUGUCACUAAGGCAAAAGGUGAAAGCGAGGCUGUCAAAGGCUUCGGCUCAAAGAGGGGUUCGCGUCCUAUCAGGUAGUUGGUGGGGUAAUGGCCUACCAAGCCAAUGACGGGUAGCUGGUCUUAGAGGAUGAUCAGCCACAGUGGGACUGAGACACGGCCCGCACCCCUACGGGGGGCAGCAGUGGGGAAUCGUGGGCAAUGGGCGCAAGCCUGACCCCGCAAUGCCGCGUGAGGGAAGAAGCCCUUCGGGGUGUAAACCUCUGUCAGAUGGGAAGAUGGGACUAGGGGCUAAUACCUCCUGGUCUUGACGGUACCAUCAGAGGAAGGGACGGCUAACUACGUGCCAGCAGCCGCGGUAAU